rnacentral:misc_RNA from 1 species
GAUGAAGAACGUAGCGAAAUGCGAUAAGUAGUGUGAAUUGCAGAAUUCAGUGAAUCAUCGAAUCUUUGAAUGCACAUUGCGCCCCUUGGUAUUCCAUGGGGCAUGCCUGUUCGAGCGUCAUUUGUACCUUCAAGCCUUGCUUGGUGUUGGGUGUUUGUCUCGCCUCUGCGCGCAGACUCGCCUCAAAACAAUUGGCAGCCGGCGUAUUGAUUUCGGAGCGCAGUACAUCUCGCGCUUUGCACUCACAACGGCGGCGUCCAAAAGUACAUUUUUACACUCUUGACCUCGGAUCAGGUAGGGAUACCCGCUGAACUUAAGCAUAUCAAUAAGCGGAGGA